UGCACAAGGCGGUGGAGCAUGUGGUUUAAUUCGAUGCAACGCGAAGAACCUUACCUACUCUUGACAUCCAGAGAACUUUCCAGAGAUGGAUUGGUGCCUUCGGGAACUCUGAGACAGGUGCUGCAUGGCUGUCGUCAGCUCGUGUUGUGAAAUGUUGGGUUAAGUCCCGCAACGAGCGCAACCCUUAUCCUUUGUUGCCAGCGGUUCGGCCGGGAACUCAAAGGAGACUGCCAGUGAUAAACUGGAGGAAGGUGGGGAUGACGUCAAGUCAUCAUGGCCCUUACGACCAGGGCUACACACGUGCUACAAUGGCGCAUACAAAGAGAAGCGACCUCGCGAGAGCAAGCGGACCUCAUAAAGUAUGUCGUAGUCCGGAUUGGAGUCUGCAACUCGACUCCAUGAAGUCGGAAUCGCUAGUAAUCGUGGAUCAGAAUGCCACGGUGAAUACGUUUCCCGGGCA
rnacentral:rRNA from 1 species